UACAGCAGAUGAUGGGACCUGCUUGGACAAUAAUGACAUCAGCUGCCGCUACAAACUCGGAAAGCAGCUUGGUGAAGGAGGUUUCGGCUCCGUGUAUGAGGGGAUUCGCAUACAGGAUGGUCUGCAGGUGGCAGUUAAAUUUGUCCAGAAGACCCCAAAUAUGCAAGAUGUCAGCUCUGUGAGUAGACUACACUUUCUGUUCGCUGUGUUCAGUUUAUAAAGUCUUAUAUUUAUUAUAGACCACAGGCUGUGGUCAGAAACCCUUGUUUGAAAACCAACAUUAUUAUUUUG